CUGGUACCAAAGUUCUCCAGAGAGACCCAAGUGUCCUCGCUUCUUCUGACCUCUGUGAGCCCUUGCCUGGGAAGAAACUUGGAGUUUGAUGGGUGAGGAGAAACACGGUCAACUCGGUGCUUUUGGAAAACGACUUUGGCCAGAGAAGAGCGCAGGCAAGCCCACGGUUGUUGUCCUUUGCUUGCUAAACGUGAGAACUGAGAAAGUUGCUCUACAUUGCUACUAGUACCGGAUGCAAUGGAAUAAUGAACUGGAGGAAUUCCAUGUGAACUGGA